rnacentral:rRNA from 1 species
UUGGGUUAAGUCCCGCAACGAGCGUAACCCUUGUUUUUAGUUGCCAUCAUUUAGUUGGGCACUUUAAAAAGACUGCCGGUGAUAAACCGGAGGAAGGUGAGGACGACGUCAAGUCAGCAUGCCCCUUACGCCCUGGGCUACACACGUACUACAAUGGUCGAGACAAAGAGUCGCAAGUCUGCAAAGACAAGCUAAUCUCACAAACUCGAUCUCAGUUCGGAUUGCAGGCUGCAACUCGCCUGCAUGAAGGUGGAAUCGCUAGUAAUCGCCGGUCAGCAAUACGGCGGUGAAUCCGUUCCCGGGCCUUGUACACACCGCCCGUCACACCAUGGAAGCUAGCCACACCCAAAGUCGUUACCUUAACCGUUUGGAGGGGGGCGCCUAAGGUAGGGUUAGUGACUGGGGUGAAGUCGUAACAAGGUAGCCGUACUGAAGGUGCGGCUGGAUCACC